rnacentral:rRNA from 1 species
UACGUAGGGGGCAAGCGUUAUCCGGAUUUACUGGGUGUAAAGGGAGCGUAGACGGCAUGGCAAGUCAGAUGUGAAAGCCCGGGGCUCAACCCCGGGACUGCAUUUGAAACUGUCAGGCUGGAGUGCAGGAGAGGUAAGUGGAAUUCCUAGUGUAGCGGUGAAAUGCGUAGAUAUUAGGAGGAACACCAGUGGCGAAGGCGGCUUACUGGACUGUAACUGACGUUGAGGCUCGAAAGCGUGGGGAGUAAACAGG